AGCGGUUCUUGGGUGACACACUCUAGAAUCGGGCUCCCUCCUCUCAGGUUCUGGGGUAUGUCACCAGUCGCA
rfam:Myotis lucifugus cont2.36822, whole genome shotgun sequence.